UACGGAGGAUGCAAGCGUUAUCCGGAAUGAUUGGGCGUAAAGCGUCCGCAGGUGGCAAUGUAAGUCUGCUGUCAAAGCGUCUGGCUCAACCAGAUAAAGGCAGUGGAAACUACAUGGCUAGAGUGCGUUCGGGGCAGAGGGAAUUCCUGGUGUAGCGGUGAAAUGCGUAGAUAUCAGGAAGAACACCAAUGGCGAAAGCAGCUCUCUGGGACGGUACUGACGCUGAGACGCGAAAGCGUGGGGAGCGAACAGG
rnacentral:rRNA from 1 species